rnacentral:rRNA from 1 species
UACGUAGGGGGCAAGCGUUGUCCGGAUUCAUUGGGCGUAAAGAGCGUGUAGGCGGCCAGGUAGGUCGGCUGUGAAAACUGGAGGCUCAACCUUCAGAGGUCGACCGAAACCAUCUGGCUAGAGUCCGGGAGAGGAGAGUGGAAUUCCUGGUGUAGCGGUGAAAUGCGCAGAUAUCAGGAAGAACACCCGUGGCGAAAGCGGCUCUCUGGAACGGUACUGACGCUGAGACGCGAAAGCGUGGGGAGCAAACAGG